GAGCUUCCCCCAAACAACAUACAUAUUGAAAUUAGAAUCAUGCAGAGAGGAUUGGCAAUGUCCAUGUGCAAAAAUGACAGGCAAAUGUGUAAAAUAUUCCAUAUAUUU
rfam:Otolemur garnettii contig004460, whole genome shotgun sequence.